rnacentral:lncRNA from 1 species
CUCUACCGGCCCUACAGGGAUGCUGGGCAGUCUGCCCAGAUCCCCAGCAGCAGUAUGUAUCCCAGGAAGCUGAAGGUGUCGUCCUUCCUCCCCAGUGGCAGUGUGUGUCCUUAGGAGAGGAGACAGUUGUUCUCUCUCCCCAGCAGUCCAGUGAGUUACAUGGAGACGAAGGUGCCGUCCUUCCUCCCCAGUGGCAGUGUGUGUUACAGGGAGCUGAAGGUGUUGUCCUUCCUCCUCAGCGGCAGUGUGUGUCCUUAGGAGAGGAGACAGUUGGUCCCUCUCCCCAGCAGUCCAGUGAGUCCCAGGGCACUGAAGGUACCAUCCUUCCUCCCCAGCGGCAGUGUGUGUCCUUAGGAGAGGAGACAGUUGGUCCCUCUCCCCAGCAGUCCAAUGAAUUACAGGGAGACAAAGGUGCCGUCCUUCCUCCCCAGCGGCAGUGUGAGUUCUUGGGAGAGGAGACAGUUGGUCCCUCUCCCCAGCAGUCAACCGAGUCCCAGGGAGCCAAAGGUGCCGUCUUUCCUCCCCAGCAGCAGUGUGUCCGGCAGGGAGCAGGGACAGUCGGUCUCGCUCCCCAGCAGCGGGACAAUAUAUUGAAAGGGGAGACACCCUCUCCAACAGCAGAGAGAGUGCCAGGGAGAGGAGCUUGUUAUCCCCUCUCCCCAGUGGCUGAAAGUAUGUAUGGGAGAGGAGCUUGUUACCCUCUCUCCCCAGCGGCAGUUUAGCCCACCAAGGGGAGACAGUAAGCUCCACAACAGUGCAGAUGGGACCGUGAUCUUUGCACAUGCACCACCGGGGGUAGGGACAGUCAGUCCUGUCCCCCAGCAGCAGGGCUGUGUGUCCAAAGGGGAGACAGUCAGUCCCCCCCUCCAGCAGCAGGACUAUGUAACCAAAGGGGAGACAGUCGGUCUCCCCAUCCAGCAGCAGCCCCAGAUCCCGAGAGAGGAGCUUACCAACUCUUCUUUUCAGCAUGGCUCCAACCAGGCUACUUCCGUGGUAGCGCUGGCACCAGGGCAGAGUACCACGGGUCUCUGCCCACUCAGCAACCCACCAAGGCAGCCUAUCACUACCCCACACAGCCGUGGUGAGGCACCUGGACAUGGACGAGCUAAUCUUUUACCCAUGUGUAGUAACCAUGUAUUGUGGGUGGGCUGUAUUACUGUUUGCGCUGUGUGGGUGGGUUGCUGGACUAACCAGGGCACUGACCGGCAGGAGGUCAGAUACCCUGUUAGUCUGUUUGGAAAAGGGGAGAAAUGUGGUGGAACCAGCCUCGCCACUGGGCAUUGGAGAAGACUUAUUGCCAGCCUCCUACCAUGUGACUAUGGCCCUUGGGAUGUAUUGCCUGCUCUCCUGUACUGCUGAGGAUUGCUACCAACUAGGUGGAUUUGGCUAUGGAGCUUGUGGAGUGCCCUCUGUUGGUAGCAACAGUAAUAUGCACUACCUGAAUAGCAAGACUGGUAAUUUGCAUAUUCGGGUAGAUUUGCAUAUCACUUCUUCUGCAUGCAGGAGAGACAUUUUGUGUUAAUUAUGGUCUUUCCCACCCAUUUAUAAAUAUGUAAUUAUGUUAUACUAAGUUACUGUAUGUUGCCUGCUAUGAUUUGACUGUUUGUAAUUUUAUUGAGUAUUCACAGCAAUGUUAAUGUAAUGACCAUAUGGGCUAGUCCCAAGUAAAAUAAAGUUUUAGACAGUUCUACUUCACCCUCAAUUUGGAGUCCUGUCUCUUAUUGGGGGAAUCUGCUACAAGGGAUUGCUAUGCUCUGCAUAUUCCCUUGCUAUAAUCACUCCUAAGCUCUUUUAAGAGCUGGUUCCUGCUUCGCUCUGAAGGAAGAGAGGUUUGGCUUGUGGUGUCGGCUAGAGUGCUUGGAAUCCUCAAGAAGCGUUAGAAGCAUCCAUCAACGGAGGUACUCAGUCGGGGUGCCAGUUGAUCCGUUACAGAGGUGAAUUUAAUGUUCAAUUGCCAGAUGUGUCUAUGCUCAUAACUAUAUUUUUUUUUUUACCAGUUGAGAGGGGUGUGGCCAGUGCCCUUCUCCCCUCCCACCCUUAUCAUACCCCUUUAUCCAUGUACAGUGUAUGUCAAUAGUUGUGUAGUCUUUGUAUAUAGGAGUUAUUAAAUUAAUAAUUUAAAACAAAUAUGAUUCCCCCUUCCCUGUUAUUACCUUGCAGGGAGGUGGGCAUGCUUAACUCUGAUUAUCCAGUAUGCUGAGAAUCUGGUUGGCGCAUCCACCGGGUAAUUGUUGUAUUGACU